UUUUGACCUGUGAUUAUUUCUGUGUACACCUAGCUUUAUCUGUAUCAUAACAGGAACUGCUUUUAAAAGGGUGGAAGUUGUCACAGUUCAUAAGAUCAAGCACAAGCAUCACUCUUUGAUGGGGUAGGGCCUUUCUGUUUCUCUGCCUAUUCCUCGAAAUGGAAGACUUUUAAGCCUACAUGCAAUGUGGAACGCAGAAAAUCCUGGAGCCUUUGGCCUGCAACUAUAAACAUUUUCUUCUGAUUUCUUCUCUGGACCAUAAGACAUUUCCUCAUCUCAUCUUAUCUGAAGACAGAUGUCUUAUAUCUCAUACCUUAAAAAGAGGAACAACAAAGAAGCAGCAGUUGGAACUGAGAGGCCUGGCGUGGGCGGAAUAAAACUGGACAUGCAUGGAUCACUUGCAAAUCUCCCACCCGCAUUUCUUCCUCGUGGCAUCUACUCCACCAGUCGACCAAUCUCCCUGCUCCCGCCCUCUUGCUCUCUCCCGGGGGGACCAUCUCCGGUCCCUCUUCAUCAUCCUCUAGUGCCUCUCCACCUGUGGCCCUGGUAUAUUUGGUUCCCCAUAGCUGUGUGGCAGAGAAUGACUGACGUGGCGGGAAGGGACCUCCCCCCCACCAUGCCUGCAACUGGAACCAGCUGGCAGCACGGCUGGAAGAGACAGGUCAGGUUCCAGUCUGUUUCGCACGCAAGAUGUCUGCGCCCGUCGCUGUUAAUCUGCAGCUUGAGGGGGUGAAUUUGUUGGGUUCCCUCCUCCACCGCUGUAACAGGGCCCCGCGCCUCACUCCUGUGGGCUGGAUUUUCAUGUUACAGUUCCCGUUCCCUCCUCAUAAUCCAUGCUUCUGCUAAGACCGGAAUCUAACCUGACACUUAAAUCACGAACAUUCCCUGCCUGCCCACGCAGAUCCUCUCCUGAAUUUAAAUCUGUUUGGGUUGCAUGUGGUGUAUUCCCCCCACUUUGUGUAUGUCUGUGUGGUGGAUUUGGGCUGUGGUUAACAGCCUGGCUGGGAGUUUGUGUACUGGUGUGGGUUGGGUGUUCUGUUCGUCUUUGUGCUCUGUGUAAUGCUUCCAUGAUGAUUGACCGAGUAGGGAUGCUGUUAUUAGCUUGGGCGUUGCCUGCUCUGGCUUUAUCUCUCAUGAGCUUUCCGAGUUUGUCCCAAAUUUCUAUAUUUAGUUUCCACCAAUGGCAGUUUUGGUGCUAGAGAUUUUAUGCAUUGCACAAGUUCUAUUAACAUUGCAUGUGUGGUUUGUACUUUAUAUGAUCUUAACAAGAGGCACAGAGCCUCUGUGUCUUUGUUUCUGUAGAGUAGUUGUUUCCCAUGUUGGGUUUUACCUUAUCUGGCCGCUUUUGAGUUCCUCGUGUGUGUUUGCUUUGUUCGCAGCUUCUGAGAUUUUACUUUCGAUUUCAGCUCGGGCUGCAGCUUUUCAUGGUCUCCAGCAGCUCCAGUGUCUCGUUGUCUCUGCAGAUGGCAGCUCCGGCGGCUGCAGUGGCGGUUCCGGCAAUGAUUCCUGCUCCCUCUGCGGUGGCAGUUCGCGGCAGGUCCUGUGGAGUGGUCCCAGGCGGCAGUGAUGGUGGUGGCGGCAGUGGCAGCCUCGAUCCAUCUUGUCUUGUUUUUUUUUCUUCUCCUGGAUCAGUGCCCCCUUUAUCUUUUUUGAGCUCAGUUUAAUGUUGGUAUGUUGAAAUUGUGUGAACAAUUUCCCUUGCAUUUCCAUGUUUAUUGCUUUAGCACAGUUUGGGUGUGAUCAGUUAGUCAAAAUGGCUACAAGAGUUGAAGUUAGAACAAAGGUGGAUUCUUGCCAGAUGCCAAAGAGGAGUUUUGGCAGGUGAAUAAAGUUUUCUCAUCUCCUAUGACCACCUGUUGUGAUCCAAUUAGCAGUGGACAGCAAAGUAUGUUUUCCUUAUGUAUCCAAUGUAGUGUGAACAAGAACUGAGCAUCAUGAGCACUAUAUAAACUGUCUUUCUUCUAAUAAAGCCGACGUUUUGCCGGCCAUAA